UGGGGAAUAUUGCACAAUGGGCGCAAGCCUGAUGCAGCCAUGCCGCGUGUGUGAAGAAGGCCUUCGGGUUGUAAAGCACUUUCAGCGAGGAGGAAGGUGGUGAACUUAAUACGUUCAUCAAUUGACGUUACUCGCAGAAGAAGCACCGGCUAACUCCGUGCCAGCAGCCGCGGUAAUACGGAGGGUGCAAGCGUUAAUCGGAAUUACUGGGCGUAAAGCGCACGCAGGCGGUUUGUUAAGUCAGAUGUGAAAUCCCCGGGCUCAACCUGGGAACUGCAUUUGAAACUGGCAAGCUAGAGUCUCGUAGAGGGGGGUAGAAUUCCAGGUGUAGCGGUGAAAUGCGUAGAGAUCUGGAGGAAUACCGGUGGCGAAGGCGGCCCCCCUGGACGAAGACUGAUGCUCAGGUGCGAAAGCGUGGGGAGCAAAACAGGAUUAGAUACCCUGGUAGUCCACGCUGUAAACGAUGUCGAUUUGGAGGUUGUGCCCUUGAGGCGUGGCUUCCGGAGCUAACGCGUUAAAUCGACCGCCUGGGGAGUACGGCCGCAAGGUUAAAACUCAAAUGAAUUGAC
rnacentral:rRNA from 1 species